GUCCUCCACCUGCUGCGGGCAGAUGAAGUGGAUGUGCGCGUCGAUGCCGCCGGCGGUGGCGAUCAGCCCCUCGCCCGCGAUCACCUCGGUGCCGGGGCCGAUGACCAGCGUCACGCCCGGCUGCACGUCCGGGUUGCCGGCCUUGCCGAUGCCGGCGAUGCGCCCGCCCUUGAUGCCGAUAUCGGCCUUGACCACGCCCCAGUGGUCGAGGAUCAGCGCGUUGGUGAUGACGGUGUCGAGCGCGCCGCUGGCGCGGGUAGCCUGGCUCUGGCCCUGGCCGUCGCGGAU
rfam:Immundisolibacter cernigliae strain TR3.2, complete genome.